AUUGAACGCUGGCGGCAUGCCUUACACAUGCAAGUCGAACGGUAACAGGUUAAGCUGCCGAGUGGCGAACGGGUGAGUAAUGUAUCGGAACGUGCCCAGUCGUGGGGGAUAACUGCUCGAAAGAGCAGCUAAUACCGCAUACGACCUGAGGGUGAAAGCGGGGGAUCGCAAGACCUCGCGCGAUUGGAGCGGCCGAUAUCAGAUUAGGUAGUUGGUGAGGUAAAGGCUCACCAGGCCGACGAUCUGUAGCUGGCCUGAGAGGACGACCAGCCACACUGGGACUGAGACACGGCCCAGACUCCUACGGGAGGCAGCAGUGGGGAAUUUUGGACAAUGGGCGCAAGCCUGAUCCAGCCAUGCCGCGUGCGGGAAGAAGGCCUUCGGGUUGUAAACCGCUUUUGUCAGGGAAGAAAAGGUUCUGGCUAAUACCUGGGACUCAUGACGGUACCUGAAGAAUAAGCACCGGCUAACUACGUG
rnacentral:rRNA from 1 species